ensembl:snoRNA
CUCCACAGUUACUGGUCUGUAACUGUUCAGAACUGUAGCAGUUGCAGUAUUCCCUCUGUGGAAAAUAAACUGUUACACAGCCAUUAGGUUCCUUCUCAGAUGUUCUGAAAAGGGCUUCCUAUGUAACAAACAUUG